UACGUAGGGGGCUAGCGUUGUCCGGAAUCAUUGGGCGUAAAGAGCGUGUAGGCGGUCCGGUAAGUCUGCUGUGAAAGCCCCGGGCUCAACCUGGGAAUGGCAAUGGAAACUGGCGGGCUAGAGUGUGGCAGAGGGGGGUGGAAUUCCGCGUGUAGCAGUGAAAUGCGUAGAGAUGCGGAGGAACACCGAUGGCGAAGGCAGCCCCCUGGGCUAGCACUGACGCUCAGGCACGAAAGCGUGGGGAGCAAACAGG
rnacentral:rRNA from 1 species